GUGUGGAGCACAAUGUUCAGCCAUCGUGGAGACUAUGAGAAACAAAUCCGUGUGUACAAACUGCCAAAACAUAAAAGGUUCUGCUCCUGGCCUGGGAGGAGGUCUGGCCAGCCCUCAUCAUGACACACUGCUGGGCAGGUUUUGGCAAAAGGAGAAUAUCCCUUCCUCCUGGAACCCUCUUAUGACUGGUAGGCAAUCCAGGCUGACCUGCUCUGGACUGCUUCAAGAGUUUAUUUCAUUUUCCUUAUCUAGAUCUCAUCCCAGGAGCUCCAGGGCAAACUCCCCCUCCACCAGCGCAGGGACAAUGUUGCCAGGCAAGAAGAGACAGCAGAGCAAACACUCCAGCCCACCCCAUUGUCAGCUGCUGUGCUGGAUUAAACAAGACCAGAAUUCACUCCUCUUAUUGCAGGACAAAUUAAUUGAUAACAGAACCAGUCAAAGCAGAUGUGGUCGUGGCCUCCUGAACUGCCCUAUUGCAAGGAAAGGGCUGAGCAACAUCAAAGACAAAGGUGUUUUUCCAACCUAUGUCUCAGGUUCUCAUUUGGAGGAGAUCCUGACACUCAUCUUUUGCCUCUGCCCAUUGAUUUACUUCUGGUAAGAAAGCCAGCAGACCAAGGGAUUCUGGCUAGAAGACAGCCACUGAACUUUCCAGCCUAGGUUCUGGACAUCCCAGAACAUGGAAUCAUGUAACAGAGAGAGCUGUGCCACAGCUGAAAUACAACCAGAAUGUCUAAAUGACUGAUCCACCCUCACUGAGGAAACCUGCAGCUUAUCAAGGGCUCUGAGCUCAUAUCCCAGGAUUUGAUACAGGGCUCUAGCUACUCUUCCAUCAUUCACAUGAGUAGAGUUACUACACAGCACACUGACUAUCUUGGAAUUAAUUUCUUUUCACUCCAGUAAGACAGUUCAGCAGCACAACUCGGUGUUCUGAGGCGUCCCAGGAGAGUUGCACAGCACUGGCUACCAAGAGAUGCUCAGUUGUUCCACUUUUAAGUGUCCUUGUGCCCAUUAUAACAUUGUAAUAAAAAUAACCAGAAGCGGGUAUGUGCUCCCA
rnacentral:lncRNA from 1 species